rnacentral:rRNA from 1 species
UUCGGGGAAAAGAUUUUAUCGCCUUUUAGAGCGGCCCGCGUCUGAUUAGCUAGUUGGUGAGGUAAAGGCUCACCAAGGCAACGAUCAGUAGCUGGUCUGAGAGGAUGACCAGCCACAUUGGGACUGAGACACGGCCCAAACUCCUACGGGAGGCAGCAGUGGGGAAUCUUGCGCAAUGGGCGAAAGCCUGACGCAGCCAUGCCGCGUGGAUGAUGAAGGUCUUAGGAUUGUAAAAUCCUUUCACCGGUGAAGAUAAUGACUGUAGCCGGAGAAGAAGCCCCGGCUAACUUCGUGCCAGCAGCCGCGGUAAUACGAAGGGGGCUAGCGUUGCUCGGAUUUACUGGGCGUAAARGGCSCGUAGGCGGACAUUUAAGUCAGGGGUGAAAUCCCGGGGCUCAACCUCGGAACUGCCUUUGAUACUGGGUGUCUUGAGUGUGAGAGARGUGUGUGGAACUCCGARUGUAGAGGUGAAAUUCGUAGAUAUUCGGAAGAACACCAGUGGCGAAGGCGACACACUGGCUCAUUACUUGACGCUGAGGCGCGAAAAGCGUGGGGAGCAAACAGGAUUAGAUACCCUGGUARUCCACGCCGUAAACGAUGAUUGCUAGUUGUCGGGAUGCAUGCAUCUCGGUGACGCAGCUAACGCAUUAAGCAAUCCGCCUGGGGAGUACGGUCGCAAGAUUAAAACUCAAAGGAAUUGACGGA